CAUAUACUCACUCUGUCCAACAAAGGAUGUCUCAACUCUCAAGUUUGUUAAAAAUUUAUAUGUAUCUAGACAUGACUUACUGUAUAGAUGCAUUUAAAUUUGAUCAAAAUUGAGACAUCCUUCGUUGGACGGAAGGAGUACUAA
rnacentral:pre_miRNA from 1 species